rnacentral:rRNA from 1 species
UACGUAGGGGGGCAAAGCGUUUGUCCGGAUUUAUUGGGCGUAAAGAGCGUGUAGGCGGCUUUACAGGUCCGUUGUGAAAACUCGAGGCUCAACCUCGAGACGCCGGUGGAAACCGUAAGGCUAGAGUCCGGAAGAGGAGAGUGGAAUUCCUGGUGUAGCGGUGAAAUGCGCAGAUAUCAGGAAGAACACCCGUGGCGAAGGCGGCUCUCUGGGACGGUACUGACGCUGAGACGCGAAAGCGUGGGGAGCGAACAGG